ncrna:unclassified sequences pemK RNA
AUAAUGAUACUUCCCUACGGGGCUGGCGGAAAACCCGGCAGAGGUAAAACUCCUAUGA